rnacentral:rRNA from 1 species
GCCAGCGACAAGCUGCUCAUCAUCAUCACGCCCACGCGCGCGCGGGCGUCGCAGGCCUACUACCUCAGCCGGAUGGGCCAGACGCUGCGCCUCGUCCGCCCGCCCGUGCUCUGGGUCGUCGUCGAGGCCGGCAGGCCCACCCCGGAGGCCGCCCUCGCGCUGCGCCGCACCGCCGUCAUGCACCGCUACGUCGGCUGCUGCGACGCCCUCAACGCCUCCGCCUCCGCCGCCGCCGACUUCCGCCCGCACCAGCUCAACGCCGGCCUCGAGGUCGUCGAGAACCACCGCCUCGACGGCGUCGUCUACUUCGCCGACGAGGAGGGCGUCUACUCCCUCCCGCUCUUCGACCGCCUCCGCCACAUCAGGAGGUUCGGCACAUGGCCGGUUCCGACGAUCUCCGAGGGCGGCCACGACGUCGUGCUCGAAGGGCCCGUGUGCAAGCAGAGCCAGGUUGUUGGGUGGCACACCAGUGGGGGUGCCAACAAGCUCCAGAGGUUUCAUGUCGCCAUGUCGGGCUUCGCGUUCAACAGCACCAUGCUCUGGGAUCCCAGGCUGAGGUCCCAUCGGGCCUGGAACUCCAUCCGGCACCCGGAAACGGUGGAGCAGGGCUUCCAAGGAACCACGUUUGUGGAGCAGUUAGUGGAGGAUGAGAGCCAGAUGGAGGGCAUACCCGCAGACUGCUCCCAAGUAAUGAACUGGCAUGUGCCAUUUGGAUCUGAGAGCCCGGUCUAUCCCAAGGGGUGGCGGUCCGCGGCGAACCUGGAUGUGAUUAUCCCUCUGAAAUAA